CCUACGGGAGGCUGCAGUGAGGAAUAUUGGUCAAUGGGCGAGAGCCUGAACCAGCCAAGUCGCGUGAGGGAGUACUGCCCUAUGGGUUGUAAACCUCUUUUGUCGGGGCGCAAAAGCCGGACGUGUCCGGCUGUGAGAGUACCCGAAGAAAAAGCAUCGGCUAACCCCGUGCCAGCAGCCGCGGUAAUACGGAGGAUGCGAGCGUUAUCCGGGUUUAUUGGGUUUAAAGGGUGCGCAGGCGGAUUUUUAAGUCAGCGGUAAAAUCGUGGGGCUCAACCCCAUCCAGCCGUUGAAACUGGGGAUCUAGAGUGUGCGAGAGGUAUGCGGAAUGUGUGGUGUAGCGGUGAAAUGCAUAGAUAUCACGCAGAACCCCGAUUGCGAAGGCAGCAUACCGGUGCACAACUGACGCUCAGGCACGAAAGCGUGGGUAUCGAACAGGAUUAGAUACCCGAGUAGUC
rnacentral:rRNA from 1 species